rnacentral:rRNA from 1 species
ACGGCUCAGUAACACGUCAAUAAUCUGCCCUUAGGUUCGGGAUAACCUCGGGAAACUGAGGCUAAAACCGGAUAGAUAAUGAAUACUGGAAUGUUUCAUUAUUCAAAAGUAAUGCCUAAGGAUGAGUUGGCGGUUGAUUAGGUUGUUGGUAGUGUUAAGGACUACCAAGCCUUUGAUCAGUAGGGGCCGUGAGAGCGGUAGCCCCGAGAAGGGUACUUAGACACUGACCCUAGCCCUACGGGGUGCGGCAGGCGCGAAACUUUUACAAUGUACGUAAGUGCGAUAAAGGAACUCUUAGUGCUUAUGCACUGCAUAGGCUUUUGUUAAGAGUAAAUAUCUUAGCGAAUAAGUGGUGGGUAAGACUGGUGCCAGCCGCCGCGGUAACACCAGCGCCACGAGUGGGAAUCAUGUUUAUUGGGCCUAAAGCGUUCGUAGCUGGUUUGGUAAGUUUUGAGUGAAAUCGUUGCGCUUAACAAAACGAAUUGCUUGAGAUACUGUUGAUCUAGGGACCGGGAGGCGUUAAGGGUAUUUCUGAGGGAGCGGUAAAAUGUUGUAAUCUCAGGAGGACCACCUGUGGCGAAGGCGCUUAACGAGAACGGGUCCGACGGUGAGGAACGAAAGCUAGGGGAGCGAACCGGAUUAGAUACCCGAGUAGUCCUGGCCGUAAACGCUGCGAGUUAGGUGUUGCACAAACUACGGGUUUGUGCAGUGUCGAAAAGAAGUUGUUAAACUCGCCGCCUGGGAAGUACGGUCGCAAGACUGAAACUUUAAGGAAUUGGCGGGGGAGCACA